UAGAAGGAAAAUCACCUGUGCUAGUUGCACAUGGAAUAGGAUCAAGUCCAAAGAAACCUUUCUUCUAACUAAAAGAAGAGAAGGCAACUCACCAACCCCCAAACUAUAGCAUGCUAUCAUGUUUCUGUAUUUGGUAGCCACGCGAGAAAGCAAUACAAUAAGCAUUAAGCAAUUCCUGAUAAUUUCUGGUACUUUGGUAUGUCAAGGGAUCAAAUUUUGAUCAUAUUCUGUUUUUGUUUUGAAAUUUUGUAGAAAAGAUUGUUACAAGGACAAGAAGACUCUAAUAGUUAACCACAAAAGGCUCAUGCAUUGCUUCCAAAAACCAGAUUUGUUAAAAAAGAUGGAACACGAUUCUGCCGCUAAAGAGUUGUUGAAACACCAAUCCUUCUCGUAACUAGGUGGGUUGGAAUAGUUCCUUUAGAUUUCAACUUACCUUUAAUUAG
rnacentral:misc_RNA from 1 species